rnacentral:rRNA from 1 species
GAUGAACGCUGGCGGCGUGCCUAAUACAUGCAAGUCGAGCGAACAGACGAGGAGCUUGCUCCUCUGACGUUAGCGGCGGACGGGUGAGUAACACGUGGAUAACCUACCUAUAAGACUGGGAUAACUUCGGGAAACCGGAGCUAAUACCGGAUAAUCUAUUGAACCGCAUGGUUCAAUAGUGAAAGACGGUUUUGCUGUCACUUAUAGCUGGAUCCGCGCCGCAUUAGCUAGUUGGUAAGGUAACGGCUUACCAAGGCAACGAUGCGUAGCCGACCUGAGAGGGUGAUCGGCCACACGGGAACGGAGACACGGUCCAGACUCCUGCGGGAGGCAGCAGUAGGGAAUCUUCCGCAAUGGGCGAAAGCCUGACGGAGCAACGCCGCGUGAGUGAUGAAGGUCUUCGGAUCGUAAAACUCUGUUAUUAGGGAAGAACAAAUGUGUAAGUAACUAUGCACGUCUUGACGGUACCUAAUCAGAAAGCCACGGCUAACUACGUG